CCUGUGAAAAACACCCACGCCGAAAGACCAAGGGUUCCUGCGCAACGUUAAUCGACGCAGGGUUAGUCGGUUCCUAAGGCGAGGCUGAAAAGCGUAGUCGAUGGGAAACAGGUUAAUAUUCCUGUACUUCUGGUUACUGCGAUGGAGGGACGGAGAAGGCUAGGCCAGCUUGGCGUUGGUUGUCCAAGUUUAAGGUGGAAGGCUGAAAUCUUAGGUAAAUCCGGGGUUUCAAGGCCGAGAGCUGAUGACGAGUCGUCUUUUAGAUGACGAAGUGGUUGAUGCCAUGCUUCCAAGAAAAGCUUCUAAGCUUCAGGUAACCAGGAACCGUACCCCAAACCGACACAGGUGGUCGGGUAGAGAAUACCAAGGCGCUUGAGAGAACUCGGGUGAAGGAACUAGGCAAAAAGGCACCGUAACUUCGGGAGAAGGUGCGCCGGCUAGGGUGAAGGAUUUACUCCGUAAGCUCUGGCUGGUCGAAGAUACCAGGCCGCUGCGACUGUUUAUUAAAAACACAGCACUCUGCAAACACGAAAGUGGACGUAUAGGGUGUGACGCCUGCCCGGUGCCGGAAGGUUAAUUGAUGGGGUUAGCGCAAGCGAAGCUCUUGAUCGAAGCCCCGGUAAACGGCGGCCGUAACUACAACGGUCCUAAGGUAGCGAAAUUCCUUGUCGGGUAAGUUCCGACCUGCACGAAUGGCGUAACGAUGGCGGCGCUGUCUCCACCCGAGACUCAGUGAAAUUGAAAUCGCUGUGAAGAUGCAGUGUAUCCGCGGCUAGACGGAAAGGCCCCGUGAACCUUUACUGUAGCUUUGCACUGGACUUUGAGCCUGCUUGUGUAGGAUAGGUGGGAGGCUUUGAAGCGUGGACGCCAGUUCGCGUGGAGCCAUCCUUGAAAUACCACCCUGGCAUGCUUGAGGUUCUAACUCUGGUCCGUAAUCCGGAUCGAGGACAGUGUAUGGUGGGCAGUUUGACUGGGGCGGUCUCCUCCUAAAGAGUAACGGAGGAGUACGAAGGUGCGCUCAGACCGGUCGGAAAUCGGUCGCAGAGUAUAAAGGCAAAAGCGCGCUUGACUGCGAGACAGACACGUCGAGCAGGUACGAAAGUAGGUCUUAGUGAUCCGGUGGUUCUGUAUGGAAGGGCCAUCGCUCAACGGAUAAAAGGUACUCCGGGGAUAACAGGCUGAUACCGCCCAAGAGUUCAUAUCGACGGCGGUGUUUGGCACCUCGAUGUCGGCUCAUCACAUCCUGGGGCUGAAGCCGGUCCCAAGGGUAUGGCUGUUCGCCAUUUAAAGUGGUACGCGAGCUGGGUUUAGAACGUCGUGAGACAGUUCGGUCCCUAUCUGCCGUGGACGUUUGAGAUUUGAGAGGGGCUGCUCCUAGUACGAGAGGACCGGAGUGGACGAACCUCUGGUGUUCCGGUUGUCACGCCAGUGGCAUUGCCGGGUAGCUAUGUUCGGAAAAGAUAACCGCUGAAAGCAUCUAAGCGGGAAACUUGCCUCAAGAUGAGAUCUCACUGGGAACUUGAUUCCCCUGAAGGGCCGUCGAAGACUACGACGUUGAUAGGCUGGGUGUGUAAGCGUUGUGAGGCGUUGAGCUAACCAGUACUAAUUGCCC
rnacentral:rRNA from 1 species